CCACGCGUCGGCGGCGGCCGGCUGCGGCAGCAGGAUCUGCAGCGCCUUGUAGAUGCCGAGCAGCAGCGACAGGCGUUCGAGCGUGUCGCGCGGC
rnacentral:tRNA from 1 species